rnacentral:rRNA from 1 species
AACGAACGCUGGCGGCAUGCCUAACACAUGCAAGUCGAACGAGACCUUCGGGUCUAGUGGCGCACGGGUGCGUAACGCGUGGGAACCUGCCCUUAGGUUCGGAAUAACUCCCCGAAAGGGGUGCUAAUACCGGAUAAUUUCUUCGGACCAAAGAUUUAUCGCCUUUGGAUGGGCCCGCGUUGGAUUAGCUAGUUGGUAGGGUAAAAGCCUACCAAGGCGACGAUCCAUAGCUGGUCUGAGAGGAUGAUCAGCCACACUGGGACUGAGACACGGCCCAGACUCCUACGGGAAGCAGCAGUGGGGAAUAUGGGACAAUGGGCGAAAGCCUGAUCCAGCAAUGCCGCGUGAGUGAUGAAGGCCUUAGGGUUGUAAAGCUCUUUUACCCGGGAUGAUAAUGACAGUACCGGGAGAAUAAGCUCCGGCUAACUCCGUG